UUCCCUGGUCUUGCUCUGGUUUGUUUGAUUACUAGUGGUUUGUGCACAGAAAGCGUGUGUAUGUAUUUCCUGAUGUUGUGGUUAGUAUUAUCCUAGUGCCCACCCCUUUUAUAGAGGGGCUGCCCAACAUCUUUUCUGAGUUAGAUAUUGUCUCCUCUGACCUGAAAGCCACCUGGGCAGCAUUAUGACUUCUGACCUCCUCUUUUGGAGUAAAGAGAUCAUGGAAGUUCUCUACACUCUCCAGGGACUAGUGGGACCCAAGGAAGGCACCACCAUUCUCUGUGAAUGGAUCUCUGGAAGGCUCCUUAUUUGACUUUAGGAAAUGAAAUUCCCGUGUGAAAGACAGCCUCCCUCUACCAGAAGGAAAGCAUCAUUCUUAUCAUCAAGGACGGGAAGCUGAGACCGAGGAAAAUCUGUACAAACAAACCUUGUUAAGCUAACCCUUAUCUUCCUCGUUACUUCUCUGCCCAAUUACCUACUCUGCCCAAGCUCCUCUGCCUUGUCACAGUUUCACAAUUUACUACUCUUUCG
rnacentral:lncRNA from 10 species